rnacentral:pre_miRNA from 1 species
AGUGAAAUUUCUGGCUCAUAUGGUAAAUCUACUUUUAGAGGAAAGGCAAAUUUCUUUCCAAAGUGCCUGCACCAUUUUAUAUUCCCAUCAGGAAU